rnacentral:rRNA from 1 species
GACCUACGGGUGGCUGCAGUGGGGAAUUUUGGACAAUGGGCGCAAGCCUGAUCCAGCCAUGCCGCGUGCGGGAAGAAGGCCUUCGGGUUGUAAACCGCUUUUGUCAGGGAAGAAAUCCCUUGGGCUAAUACCCCGGGGGGAUGACGGUACCUGAAGAAUAAGCACCGGCUAACUACGUGCCAGCAGCCGCGGUAAUACGUAGGGUGCAAGCGUUAAUCGGAAUUACUGGGCGUAAAGCGUGCGCAGGCGGUCGUGCAAGACAGAUGUGAAAUCCCCGGGCUUAACCUGGGAACUGCAUUUGUGACUGCACGGCUGGAGUGCGGCAGAGGGGGAUGGAAUUCCGCGUGUAGCAGUGAAAUGCGUAGAUAUGCGGAGGAACACCGAUGGCGAAGGCAAUCCCCUGGGCCUGCACUGACGCUCAUGCACGAAAGCGUGGGGAGCAAACAGGAUUAGAUACCCUGGUAGUCAA